UUUUAACCGCUCUUCACCCCACACCUCUCAACAAUGGUGGAUAGGAUUUGAAGAGCAAACACCCUGAGCAACCCCGAAAGGAGAGAGCUAUGUCUUUUGAAUUACCUGCAUUACCUUA
rnacentral:sRNA from 1 species